rnacentral:rRNA from 1 species
ACGCUCGACACCUACGAGAGGCAGCAGUGGGGAAUAUUGCAUAAUGGGGGAAACCCUGAUGCAGCGACGCCGCGUGGAGGAAGAAGGUCUUCGGAUUGUAAACUCCUGUUGUUGGGGAAAAAGAGGAUGGUACCCAACAAGGAAGUGACGGCUAACUACGUGCCAGCAGCCGCGGUAAUCUGAGCGGGCUGGCAAGGC